rnacentral:misc_RNA from 1 species
GAUGAAGAACGUAGCGAAAUGCGAUAAGUAAUGUGAAUUGCAGAAUUCAGUGAAUCAUCGAAUCUUUGAACGCACGUUGCGCCCAUUAGUAUUCUAGUGGGCAUGCCUGUUCGAGCGUCAUUAAGUCCACUUAAGCCCUGCUUAGUGUUGGGAGACUGCUCCAGCGGUGCUACCCUGUAGCUACCCUGCAGCUCCUCAAAGACAGCGGCGGAGUUGUGGUAUCCUCUGAGCUUAGUAACUUGUUCUAGCUUUCGAGUACACCACUUCCCCUGCCGUAAAACCCUUAAUUUUUAAUGGUUGACCUCGGAUCAGGUAGGAAUACCCGCUGAACUUAAGCAUAUCAAUAAGCGGAGGA